AAACACUUGAGCAAUUUUAAUUAUUAAGGGAUUUUUUUUUUUCUUUUUUUAUUCCUUUUAAUGAUUAAGGGAUAAAAAGGUCAUUUUGAGUUUUCAUUUAUUUCAACUUGCAACUUUGGCUUUCCCAUUCCACCACCCUAAACUCUCGUGAAAAGAAAAAAGAAAAAGAAAAAAAAAAAAGAAAAGGGUUUUUGUUUGGCUUUCCUUUUCCACCCUAAACCCUCCUUCGAUUUUGCGUCAAAAUCUAUGAUUUUAUUUGACAGCGGUGGGAGAAAAGCGCGGGGAAAUGACGGCGGCGAGUUGGUAGUUGGGGAAUAGUGCCUCAAGCUCGAGUGUUCUCCUUCUAUGCAGACUUGCCAGAACUGUAAGGCGAACCUGAAGAUAUCCUAAGAAAAGACUCGAUUGGCUGCAAAAGAGGUGAAAGGGCCAGUGCUGGUGGAAGACGCUUGCCUCUAAUGGCACAUAUAAGUUCCUUUUUCAUUCUUGCCCUCUCGAGCAAGUGGUUUCUGCAGAAGAUUGGUCAUGAAGGUCUGAACAAUUUGUUGAUGGCAUAUGAGGAUAAAUCAGCCUAUACUGUUUGUGUAUUUUCUUUUGCUCUUGGGCCAAAUGCAGAUCCAACAACUUUCCUAGGAAAAAACUAUGCUUGACAUUACAGUGGAAGAUUGUUCGGGGACCCAAGGAUUUCAGAUGGGAUCCAAUUUUUCAACCUGAUGGAUAUGAUCAAAUUUACGCAGAAAUGCCCAAGGAAGAAAAGAACAAAAUUUCUCACCGCUCCAAGGCUCUUGCACUGGUGAAAUCCCACUUUGCUGAGGCUGGAUACACUUUCCUAAUGGACCCCUCUAUUUAAGAGUGAGCUAUUUGCUGUUGUCUUGCACUAUUUAACAGUUACAAGCUCUUGUCAAUGGUGUUGAUGCUUACAUGUUUCUCUACUGGUGUCAAGAAAAGUAUAUAUUGGAGUAUAUUUUCCUAUUUCUUUGUGUAAGGAAAUUAAGAAAAGAAAUGGAAUACCUAAGAAAGAAUAUUCGUGACGCAA